rnacentral:rRNA from 1 species
CCCUUAGAUGUUCUGGGCUGCACGCGCGCUACACUGACGCACGCAACAGGUGCCUGCUCCGAGAGGACUGGGUAAUCAUUUGAGUGUGCGUCGUGAUGGGGAUAGAAUAUUGUAAUUAUUACUCUUCAACGAGGAAUUCCUAGUAAGCGCCAGUCAGCAGCUUGCGCUGAUUACGUCCCUGCCCUUUGUACACACCGCCCGUCGCUCCUACCGAUGGGUGAUCCGGUGAAUGAUUCGGACUGCAGCAGCAUCCAGUUCCUGGAAGUUGUAGCGGAAAGUUUCGUGAACCUUAUCACUUAGAGGAAGGAGAAGUCGUAACA